GACGAACGCUGGCGGCGUGCUUAACACAUGCAAGUCGAACGGACAGACAGAGAGCUUGCUCUCUUGAAGUUAGUGGCGAACGGGUGAGUAACGCGUAAUCAACCUGCCCUUCAGAGGGGGAUAACAACGGGAAACCGUUGCUAAUACCGCGUACGAUUCAUGAACGGCAUCGUUUAUGAAUGAAAGGUGGCCUCUAUGUAUAAGCUAUCGCUGAAGGAGGGGAUUGCGUCUGAUUAGCUAGUUGGGGGGGUAACGGCCCACCAAGGCAAUGAUCAGUAGCCGGUAUGAGAGGAUGAACGGCCACAUUGGGACUGAGACACGGACCAAACUCCUACGGGAGGCAGCAGUGGGGAAUCUUCCGCAAUGGACGAAAGUCUGACGGAGCAACGCCGCGUGAGUGAUGAAGGUCUUCGGAUUGUAAAGCUCUGUUAAUCGGGACGAAAGAGUUCUGCGUGAAUAAUGCAGAAAAGUGACGGUACCGGAAUAGAAAGCCACGGCUAACUACGUGCCAGCCGCCGCCGUAA
rnacentral:rRNA from 1 species